GCAGUGAGUUCAAUGGCAGAGUGCUUGCCUAGCAUGCAUGAGGCCCUGGGUUUGAUCCCAAGUACAGCA
rnacentral:tRNA from 1 species